AUAGCUAGCGUUCAGGAAAAUCCACGCCUAUGACCCUCAUCUGGUACUGGCCAAUCGCCCUUAGUGGAUAACGGCCAUUUCCCCGAGGAUGAAGAAGAAGAAGACUUUUACGGAAUUUAAUAUGAAUCAGCAUCAAUAUCGUCAUCAAAUUGGGUUCCAGAAAGAAAAGUGUGGCUCAUCAUAAGAAAGGGGCUCACUCCUUGCAGGCCAUGGGAUUAACAACGUUGCUCAUCAGUGUGGCUCUGUUAGUAGCGGCGCUGUUUGUCAAUUCGUCGGCUGCGAACGAAUACUACAACGUCUACAGGAAGUUAUACUUGUUGGAGACACAAAAGCGCUACGACUGCCUGCAGUGCUUCGUUCGCCCUUGCCUGGAAGGCGAAAUAGAGGCCAAACCUAUGGAUUACGUGGAACAGUGCUGUAGGCCCUGUACAGAAGUGGGUCCAGGAGCGCAGUGCUCCGUAUACCGACAGCACAAGCCAGAGGUGUGCGACGUCAACCAUCGGUGUGACACAAGAACGCAGGUCUGCGUACCCCAGGAGGCGAACAGAGAAACGGAAUAUUUGAAGAUCCAGCGAGGGAAUGCCUCUAUGGCGUGAAGCAAGCAUCGAGUUGCCAUUGCUGAGUUGCAAGGAUGUAUAAUAAACGCCUUUAUUAUGCUCUGGG